rnacentral:rRNA from 1 species
AACGAACGCUGGCGGCAUGCCUAACACAUGCAAGUCGAACGAGACCUUCGGGUGUAGUGGCGCACGGGGGCGUCACGCGUGGGAAGCUGCAGUUAGGUUCGGGAUAACUCCUCGACAGGGGUGCUAAUAUCGGAAAAUUUAUUCUGACCAAAGAUAUGUCGCCUUGGGAUGGGCCCGCGUUGGUUUAGCUUGUUGGUAGUGAAAGAGCCUACCACGGCGACGCUCCAUAGCUGGGAUGAGAGGAUGAUAAGCGACACUGGGACGGAGACACGGUCCAGACUCCUACGGGAGGCAGCAGUGGGUAAUAUUGGACAAUGGGGGAAAGGCUGAUCCAGCAAUGCUGCGUGAGCGAUGAAGGUCUUAGGGUUGUAAAGCUCUUUUACACGGGAUGAUAAUGACAGUACCGGGAGAAUAAGCUCCGGCUAACUCCGUG